UGGAUUUGGGAGAAAAUGUGCCCAGUCAUCGAUCAGAACCGGGCUGUGUCUAUCAGAACUGCGCAGCUCUGCGUUGUCCAGCGAACUCCAACUGCGAAGGAUCUCCUGGCGAUGAAACGUGCGAGUGUAAACUUGGUUGGUCAGGCCACGACUGCUCCACCAAAACUGUGCCCACGAGCUUUUCAGCGAACAGUUUCCUUCAGAUUGCUCUCCUCUUCCAGCUGCCCGAACAAACCUCGUCCAUAACUUUACGGCUGCGCACCCGGCAGAGCAACAGCUUGGUGGUGGCGCUGAGGUCUGUUGGAGGUCUGGAACAUCUGGU